rnacentral:rRNA from 1 species
GACGAACGCUGGCGGCGUGCCUAAUACAUGCAAGUCGAACGCUGAAGAGAGGAGCUUGCUCUUCUUGGAUGAGUUGCGAACGGGUGAGUAACGCGUAGGUAACCUGCCUUGUAGCGGGGGAUAACUAUUGGAAACGAUAGCUAAUACCGCAUAACAAUGGAUGACACAUGUCAUUUAUUUGAAAGGGGCAAUUGCUCCACUACAAGAUGGACCUGCGUUGUAUUAGCUAGUAGGUGAGGUAAUGGCUCACCUAGGCGACGAUACAUAGCCGACCUGAGAGGGUGAUCGGCCACACUGAGACUGAGACACGGCCCAGACGCCUACGGGAGGCAGCAGUAGGGAAUCGUCGGCAAUGGGGGCAACACUGAGCGAGCAACGCCGCGUGAGUGAGGAAGAUUUUCGGAUCGUAGAGCUCUGUUGUAAGUCAAGAACGGGUGUGAGAGUGGAAAGUUCACACUGUGACGGUAGCUUACCAGAAAGGGACGGCUAACUACGUG